rnacentral:rRNA from 1 species
AGAGUUUGAUCAUGGCUCAGGACGAACGCUGGCGGCGUGCCUAAAACAUGCAAGUCGAACGGAACUUCGGUUAGUGGCGAACGGCGGAGUAAUACAUGAGCAACGUGCCCCUUUGACUGGGAUAUACAGAGGAAACUCUGGGCAAUACCGGAUGUGACUGUCUCUUGGCAUCUUGAGACAAUUAAACGGAUUUAUUCGCAAAGGGAGCGGCUCAUGACCCAUCAGGUAGUUGGUAGGGUAAAGGCCUACCAAGCCGACGACGGGUAGCGGGUCUGAGAGGAUGAUCCGCCCGAGUGGGACUGAGACACGGCCCACACACCUACGGGUGGCAGCAGUUGGGAAUCUUGCACAAUGGGGGAAACCCUGAUGCAGCGACGCCGCGUGGACGAUGAAGGGUUUAGGCCUGUAAAGUCCUUUUGCCAGGAAAGACUUAGGACGGUACCUGCGAAUAAGCUCCGGCUAACUACGUGCCAGCAGCCGCGGUAAUAC